CACGCUGAUAGCCCGCAGGUCAAACAGCAACCGGAAGUUGUUCAGGUCACGGUCGAAGAAGGGAUCUUUGUUGUUCCAUUCGACUUCGAGUGC
rnacentral:tRNA from 1 species